rnacentral:pre_miRNA from 1 species
CUGGCUCGGUGAGGCGGGGCAGCUGGUGUUGUGAAUCAGGCCGCCGCAGUCCAAGGACCGGCUACUUCCCAACACCAGGGUCCCACAUCACCCC